CGAUCUCCCCCCUGACCUUGUAGAAGCCCACCCUGCGGCCGAUGAUCAGCUCCUUGAUGGUCUUCUCGUCUUUGCACAUGGCCACGACCAUGGUUCUGGACGGAUUCCUUUCCAAACGGCUGGCCCAGACGGAGCCAGAGAAAACAGGAGCUUCUUACAUGCUGAGGUCCUGAUUCCGAUGAUUGCAGCUCAGUAAACAGGUAUUGAUCAGCCAUCAGCUGAAAGCAGGUGUGCCGGAGCAGGA